rnacentral:lncRNA from 1 species
AACUGCUGAGGGCUCCCAAAUAGCCAGCGUUGCCCGGCAUAGUUGUUGCCAGCGUCUCUGAUGCCUCGGUAUCGUUAUAUUUCAAAUACUGAGUUGUGCUGUUUGUUUGUUUCAGAGUGAUUACACCAAUUAAAUCCGGACAAG